rnacentral:lncRNA from 1 species
CUCCAUCUUUUUUCUUCGCUUGUUGCUUUUGAUUCGUUUAUUCACAUCUUCUUGUUUCUUCGUCUUUUUUUUUUCAAUCUCAAAUCAACAUUUUGCCCAAUGAUGCAAAGAAUAUCUAUUGAUCAGCUGCCGAUGGGAAACUUGUUUCUCCAUCGCCUAGCCUUCUCUCCCCACCGCCAGCAUCUCCGCCCAUCCAUCUUUCCUCCACCUCCACCUCCGCCACAUCCCCACUCUUGCGGCGGUGGUGAUUGAAGGCUUUUCUGGUGGAUUCCGUCGGCGGCUGGGUGAUUCUUAAGCUAUGAGAUCUGAGGGUAUUGUUCCAUUUUUAUUUUUACCUUUGCUAAAAAAUCGUUUUCUUUGGACUGUUUAUGAACCACAGAGAUUCGAUUUAAAUGCAUUUUAAUUAAAGAGGUUCUUGCAUUUUAACCUUAAGCAGCUGGUUUGUGGAGCCGUACAAAUUGGUUCAAAUGUUUGGUCUUGCAUGUUCGAUUCCUAUGUUUGUACCGCUUUAUCCCUCGACUUAACAGCAUGAGUUGGUUAUUUUCUUCUUGUUCUUGAUUGGGUUACAGUACAAAUGUCUUCCAUGGCAAAUGAUAUUAUGUUUCAUAUGUUGUUGUACUGAUUGUGAGGUACAACAAUAACUUGUUUUCUUGUUCUUUUUCCGGUAUAUGCCCUUCUUAGCGGCUGGUUUACUUUAGUAUAGAACAAGCAUGUUGUAGACUAUGUACAUGCCUUUGCAUUUACAGGAUAUUGCAAGCCUAAGCAACGUAGUGUGCCUAACUGUUUCUGCUACUAUGUCAAAUAAUCAACUUCUUAAUCUAGUCAUCUGGAACUCUCGAGCUACUGAUGAUUUCUCAUGUUAAUUCUUUGUCUUGAAGAUAAUAUGCGUGAUUCUCAUGUCUCUCAGACUGCAGCCAACCUUUUACUGCCUGCAAUUUUGCCUGUGGAUGUUAGGAGUACGUUGUAGGCAUUUCAUUAAGACUACACUUUCCAAGAUAGCAAAGCUGAUGCAGAACACAAAGCAUGAAUUGCAUAAACAAUCAACAUUCUCUUCCGUAUUGAUGAAUGUAUUCUGAGUUCUUAGUUUUGGGCUCGUUCAACCACUAUAAGUGUAUAUUCUGUAAGAAUGAUUAAACUUGUUAUUAUUGAUCGAUAAUCAUAUGAGCCAAACUUGCUCUUCAAUGGAGUGUUGUUAGUUGUUACCUCUUUAAUUUUCUAGUAGCCUACAGAGUCUCAACCAUCAGAUAAUGUAGUAGAUCUUCACUACAAUGAAACGGUCGAGAAUGGAACAUCAAUGUGCAUCUGCUGGCCCUUGCAAUUUGCUUGCCAGGUAGCUAACGUAGUCCAUUCAAGAUAUCCACUGAUUCAACCCAGCAUUUACAAUCGAUUAGUCACAUGAACAGACCUCUUCAUUGGUAAAGAGUUGCUUAACUGUAGGAAACAAUUUAUUGAUGGCAGCUUUCACGGUAAUUUAUUUCAAACCAAUGAUCCAAUUUUCUAUCUCUUUAUUUCUUGUUUCAUUCACAUAAUUGGCGUUCGUGUUUAGGAAUUGAAUUUUUAUUUCACGUCCUAACAUUCGAACUAAAUGACGUCCUGAUUUAGUAUAUUAUAUAAUAUUAUCAUUUCUUAAAAUCGAAAUCCAUAUAAGUUGUGUGUAUUGACUAAUUCAAACACUCUUAAACAUUCUUAGGUCGGCCG